AGGGUGCUAGCUCAAUGGAAGAGCACCUGCCUUACAAGAAGGAGGUUGGUGGUUCGAUUCCUAUGUGCCCUA
rfam:Picea glauca, whole genome shotgun sequence.